AUGACGCCGCUGCCAAUAGAUGCGCUCCGCGGGCGCCCCUGUCCCCCGCCCCACCCCACCCCCACCCCCACCCCCACCCCGAGGGGGAGGGGAAGAAACGGGCGCGGGCGGCGCGGCGGGCCCCGGGGCGCAGCGCGGGCGCGGGCCCGGGGCGGCGGGGGGCUCCGGGCGGGGGCUCCGGGCGCGGGCCCCGGGCGCGGCGGCGCGGAUCGCGGCACCUGGCUGCAGCCCUCCGCCCGCCGGGUCACCUGGUCGGGCCGCGUCGGGUCCCGCGGGCUCCGGCCGGGCCCUCCCCCCGCGCCGCGGGUCCGCGCAAACCCCGGGGCCGGCGCGGCGUCUGGGCGCGGGGCAGCGACGGCGGGAGGCCCGGCGGCCCCGGGCUGCGGCGCGUCCCCUCCCCUCGUCCACCUUCCCCCCGCCGCGGCGGCCGAGGAGGGGCGGGGGCGGGGGCGGGGGCCGGGCCGGGCCGGGCGGAGCGCGCGGGGGCGGGGCGGGGCGCGGCGGGCGGGGGGCGGCUCCGGCGGGCGGGGGGGCGGGGGUCGGCGCCUGCGGGCGGGGCAGCCCCGCGGUUCAGCAGGUGCGGCCGGGCGGGGGGCGGGGGGGCGCGGCGGGACCCCGAGCGCGGGCGGCCCGGGCCCCGGAGGGCGAGCGGGGCGGGCGGCGGAGGGUGCGGCCCGGGCCCGGCCGAGGGCCCCGGAGCUCCCGCAGCGCCCCCUCCCCGCCCCCCCCCCCACCCCCUCCCCGGGGUCGGGACUGUCGUCACUUUCCGAGGGGAUCCCCGUUCCCGAAGGCUUGGCCGGAGCCUCUGCGCCGAAGGAACGAGAGAGUUGCCCUGGGUCAGCCCUCCAGCUCCCCGAGGCGGGAUGCGGAAAACAAAAUGCAAGGGAGCAAGGCGGUGGAACGAGGCCCACUCCUGGACUUCAGAGAAUUUACAGGAAGGAGUGCCCAUUCAGGCUGAACGCAGAAACGGUGGUACCUACAAAUUCCUGUUGA
rnacentral:lncRNA from 1 species